rnacentral:rRNA from 1 species
AUUGAACGCUGGCGGCGUGCUUAACACAUGCAAGUCGAUCGGUAACAGGUGUAGCAAUACAUGCUGACGAGAGGCGGACGGGUGAGUAAUGCUUGGGAAUCUGCCUAUUAGUGGGGGACAACCCGGGGAAACUCGGGCUAAUACCGCAUACGCUCUACGGAGGAAAGCCGGGGACCGCAAGGCCUGGCGCUAAUAGAUGAGCCCAAGUCGGAUUAGCUAGUUGGUAGGGAACGGCCUACCAAGGCGACAAUCCGUAGCUGGUCUGAGAGGACGACCAGCCACACCGGAACUGAGACACGGUCCGGACUCCUACGGAGGCAGCAGUGGGGAAUAUUGGACAAUGGGGCAACCCUGAUCCAGCGACGCCGCGUGGGUGAAGAAGGCC